CAACCCUCUUCCCUCUUCCCUUCUCUCUUUUCCCCUUUUCUCUGUGAGCAAGCAACGAAGAAAACCUCACAGUACCGCACCUACCUCGCCAUGGCGCCGCCGCUGCAGACCAUCCCCCGCCGUUCCGAGGGCACCGGCGGAUGCGCCUCGUCGUCCUCUUCGUCUGGGUACAAGGAAUUGCUUCGGGAGGCCCUCAAUCGAGCACACGGUCGCCGAUUCCCCGCGAAGACAGCCGCGCUCCGGCGAGAAUUCCGGCCGCCUCCAACCUCCACCGACCCUUUCGAGCACGUACACACAUUCCAGGAGCUCGACGCCGGUGAUGCUCCGGCGACCCCCUGGACUCCGCGCCGCCACCAUUGGCCUCCCCACGUUCAGCCGCAUCCCCGACGCCAGUUUCCCCAUCCUCGUUCGCCCUGUAUCGACGGAUUGAUGUCGGACCUGAUCUCCCUCCCUCCAUGGCUGCAACCCUCCAAGCUCGUCCCAGUAUUUGUUGGGUCAAGUUGCUGCACGCCUUUCCCUUGACAUGAUCUGAACUGCAGCGCAGUGAUACGUUGAUGGGCUUCAAACCCAGAUCCAUCUGGCCUUCUUCUCUCCGGUGUGGAUCAGAUCCAGCCCACCAGCACCCUGUCGCUCGCGCGGCCCGAAGCCAACCAUCGCUGCUGGUUUCCCCCCUUCUCUGUUUUAUUAUUUUUGAUUUGCAAAUCUUGUAAAAUCAAUAUCUCUUGAACCAUAAUUCGAAAUAAAACAUGUUAUAUAUG